AUCCCUAUUUUCCCUUUAUUUCCUCAUAAUUCUCUUGUCUCAUGUGUGCCGUGCCCAUCCCUUCUUCCCCUUGCCGCCGCUAAUGUCACCUGGCCCGGCUGUGCCGCAGCUGAAAUUGUUCUGGACAUGGUAACCAUGUCCACUUCCCUUCUUUCCCGAUGCAAUUUCGCCUCACUCUACCGUCAAGUUACCCUAAAAUCAUGCACAGAGUGAGGCCCGCUACUGGGAUAUCUUGAUCUCAUUUUCUUGUUGCAUACACGACUACCUAUCCUAUCAACGCUGCCAAUCCCAUCCUGUCUGUGCCUUGGCGCUUGUUGUCCUUAAUCUCUCCCUUUCGCAAUCGGUCGGCAAACCCGAUGUUUCUCACCUGUGGUGCACGCCGGUGAUGGGCGGCCUCCACUCAUUGAGAUGGUACACCAAUGAAAAAAAUGCCUCUGCAUGGCAGAAACAGUAUCUGCCUUGCUGCGCCGCAGACCAUUACAUGUCAGGCCCUGGCCAGAGCACAAGGUCUGGAAGGUCUGGUUGGUUGCAAGGGUGACAUGUCCAGACAGAAAAAAAUCUCCCCGACGAUUCAAGCCUCUCGGUGUGGCCGAUGCAUGACGUGGACAUGAUCCGAACUGCUCCAGUGCAGGUGAAUUCUCGGUCACGCUAUGUUCCCUCUUGACCAGCAGCAAGAUACCGAGUCGACAGAGAUGGAUGUCCACUGGAAAAGGGGCUUCGGCCUCAACCGCCUGGGGGCUCAAACCUAGCCAGCGCGAAUUGUUCGAGGAUGCCCUGUUCAAGCCACCACUUGGUGAGCCUGUGAAGCCCUUCUUUGGUGUUUAGCAGCCAUCUGUUGUCAAUCUUCCCCUCAUGCUCCAGCUCCCUGCGCCUGGAAUUGAAUCGUGUGAAGUGCGCCAUUACAUGAGUCACUGUCUCCUGCUCAUAGCCACAUGCACAUUCUGGUGUAGGGAACUCUGGCACCCGCCUUUUGUGCAGAAAGGCCGCCAAUCCUGUUUUGCCUGUUCUUAGCUGUACUACGAGCGAACUGCGUGCUUUGCUUAGGCCCUCAUGCCACCUUAGUCUUGUCCGGGGCCUGCCAAACAGCUCCCCCCAUGGUGUUCUUCGUGAUUGCCAUUUAGUACGCCAGCGGUGCAACAGCUCCUCUUGCACCCAUAUCUUGAAGGUCCAAUCUCCGCUCCUGUUCAUAUGCUCUCUGCCAACCUUUGCUCUUCUUGUCUCCCACUGUGCAUUCCAUGCCUGCUGCAUGCAUGCUGGGUGCAACACAGCUUCAAUAGUGUUGUUGACCCUCCCAUUCCUGCGCCUGAGCCUAGUUCUCACCACUGCACAUGCCUAUUCAAUUGUCUCACCAUACCUGAUUCUUUGAGCCGCUCUGAUGCCUUCGCCACUAAGCUGUCCAGGUAUAUCCUAAGGGGCGGUGUGUACGUUUCUACCUCCAGUGAUGUGAUCGGCGUGGCUCUGUAGGCCCCUACGAUUGUUCGAAGACACUCGUUCGUGUCUUUUCCAGGCCUGCCAGAAGCUGCUUCUGACACCUUGGCCCCUGCAAUGUCGUGUGUGGAAAGUGCCAUGCCAGCGCUCCAUGUGAGGGUGCUGGCCUGAUCACUGCAUUGUAGACUUUUCUCGCCCGCUGCAAGGGCAGGCCCCAAGUUUGACGGCAUUGGUAGCCUCGUGCCCUGGCCUUUUACCUCCUCCAACUGAUACUUCUGACCUGGUCGUCUAUCUUAUUUCGCCAUGUAAAUUGAGGCAGCGAGCAGGGCAGCCCCCUAAUAAUAAUAGGACAUGUGUCAUGACAAUGGCGGGGGCUUUUGUCCAGUUAGGGGACUCGUUCAAGCUGACUGUUCGACAAGCGUAUUCUGUUCCCUCAACUGCAUCUCAAACCAUCAGCAAAAGCAAGCGUCGGACAGGGCCAGAAUGCAUACACAUACAAAUUCGCAACGAGUAACGAGAUGAAUAACCACGUUAUUUUCCGCAGUAAUCGAACAAGCUGGGCCAGAGAAGGCAAGGAGAAGAGAGCAGUGAAGGUGGUGGCCGCUGGGAAGAACGUAUCAUAUUGAAACUUGCGGUUCGCAAUCAUCGUGUCAGAGACACAAGUAUGUCAUAGUUAAGUUUUAUUAAAAAGAGAAUGUAUGUGAGCAUUACAUAGUAAAAGAACGAACAAGAACAGUUUUACGAUGUUAAAAAAAAAAUAAAAAUAAAAACUUUUUGCUGCAACUGUGAGCGAGUGGGUGCAGAAUUGGCAGAAGUUUGCAGAAUAGAUCACAAAGGUGAGGAACGGUGCCCUGGAAACUGGAAGACUUUCUACAUAUAUAUUGGGCCCCAGAAGCCUGAUUCGAGCCGCAGGCCCUGCUACCAUAUCAUUUUGAUACACAUGCAUUAAGCCUGGCCCUGCGCUUUACAACGCUUGAAGAAGUCGAGGGGGGCAUGGACACCAGCUGUCGCAACCAGUGGCCGCCAAUAUUUCCGUCGGGGACCUUAAAGUUCCAGGUCGCACUGAGGCUAUUGUUUCUCAUUCAUUUUCUCGAUCCCGUGAUCAGCAACUUCUUUCGCGCCAUAUGGGGAUCCAAAAUGCCAGUUAAGCCGGUGAAUCAGACAUAAACUUGUGUUGCUGGCUAUCCUCAAUCCUCGACAAAGGCCAAGAACAGCUUACGAUCAUGAGCCGAGAAUUUUAGCUAGUGCGGCACGAGUUUUGGGAGAAUCACUCUCAAAAGUCGCGGGGCCGUCUGCAUAGGACCCUGCUGAAGAAUGUUGGCCUAGAUUUUUCAUUUCGAUCUCAUAUCCAUUAUAGUAACUGCCCCAUAUAUCCACUAGCAUACUAUACAUCUGUUGGGCAGUGGCUGCAUGCUUUGGGAAAUUUCUUGGGAAUUGCCAUGGCCGGUACGAUUUUCCAUGUGUCCCGCGAGUCAUGAAGCGUGUUCCAUGAAUGCGAUUAUAUGCCUCGAUAAAAAGAUGACAGCCGUGGCACGAAAGUUUACUGACCCCAAGGUAAGAGUAUGCUUUGGCAAGGGAUGGGUUUUCCGAUUCCGAUGCUGCGAUAAGCAGGAGAAGCUUAAUCUCGCAGUGGGUUACCAGUUUUUUACUUAUCUGUUCCCGGCACAUAUACGCAGUAUCCUGUGUAACAGUUGAUAUCUUUAGUAGCUUUUUCUCGGCCGUAUGACGGGUUUGGGUUUCUUUGUGUAGUUUGUUUCGCAGUGACAAUGCUCUUUCGAGAACGUCUUCCCAGUCCUUGGCAUUUUGCGGUACCGUGUCAGUUUUUGAUAGGGUUGCUGGAACAGUGUGGAUGUCGAAUCGGUAGUGGAAAAGAUGACGGCAUUGGGGGGACCAUGAGACCUUUAAAAUGUCAUCCACUUCAUUCAUAGCAAUAGCAACUUUCCUGAAAUAGGGUUCCCAAU
rnacentral:sRNA from 1 species